rnacentral:rRNA from 1 species
CGGCCUGCGCGGAAGAUGUAACGGGGCUAAACCAUGCACCGAAGCUGCGGCAGCGACACUAUGUGUUGUUGGGUAGGGGAGCGUUCUGUAAGCCUGCGAAGGUGACCUGUGAGGGUUGCUGGAGGUAUCAGAAGUGCGAAUGCUGACAUAAGUAACGAUAAAGCGGGUGAAAAGCCCGCUCGCCGGAAGACCAAGGGUUCCUGUCCAACGUUAAUCGGGGCAGGGUGAGUCGACCCCUAAGGCGAGGCCGAAAGGCGUAGUCGAUGGGAAACAGGUUAAUAUUCCUGUACUUGGUGUUACUGCGAAGGGGGGACGGAGAAGGCUAUGUUAGCCGGGCGACGGUUGUCCCGGUUUAAGCAUGUAGGCUGGUUAUCCAGGCAAAUCCGGAUAAUCAAGGCUGAGGUGUGAUGACGAGGCACUACGGUGCUGAAGUAACAAAUGCCCUGCUUCCAGGAAAAGCCUCUAAGCAUCAGGUAACAUCAAAUCGUACCCCAAACCGACACAGGUGGUCAGGUAGAGAAUACCAAGGCGCUUGAGAGAACUCGGGUGAAGGAACUAGGCAAAAUGGUGCCGUAACUUCGGGAGAAGGCACGCUGGUGUGUAGGUGAAGCCCCUGCGGGUGGAGCUGAGACCAGUCGAAGAUACCAGCUGGCUGCAACUGUUUAUUAAAAACACAGCACUGUGCAAACACGAAAGUGGACGUAUACGGUGUGACGCCUGCCCGGUGCCGGAAGGUUAAUUGAUGGGGUUAUCCGUAAGGAGAAGCUCUUGAUCGAAGCCCCGGUAAACGGCGGCCGUAACUAUAACGGUCCUAAGGUAGCGAAAUUCCUUGUCGGGUAAGUUCCGACCUGCACGAAUGGCGUAAUGAUGGCCAGGCUGUCUCCACCCGAGACUCAGUGAAAUUGAACUCGCUGUGAAGAUGCAGUGUACCCGCGGCAAGACGGAAAGACCCCGUGAACCUUUACUAUAGCUUGACACUGAACAUUGAGCCUUGAUGUGUAGGAUAGGUGGGAGGCUUUGAAGCGUGGACGCCAGUCUGCGUGGAGCCAACCUUGAAAUACCACCCUUUAAUGUUUGAUGUUCUAACGUUGGCCCCUUACCGGGGUUGCGGACAGUGUCUGGUGGGUAGUUUGACUGGGGCGGUCUCCUCCCAAAGCGUAACGGAGGAGCACGAAGGUUAGCUAAUCCUGGUCGGACAUCAGGAGGUUAGUGCAAUGGCAUAAGCUAGCUUGACUGCGAGCGUGACGGCGCGAGCA